GAUGAACGCUGGCGGUGUGCCUUAAGCAUGCAAGUCGAGCGAAAAUAGAGCAAUCUGUUUUAGCGGCAGACGGGUGAGUAACACGUAGGAAUCUACCUCUUGGUGGGGAAUAGCCCUCCGAAAGGAGGGGUAAUACCGCAUUAUCUCGUGCUUUGCACGAGGAAUUUCUAAUUUCUAAUGAUUCUAAUUUCUAAUCAAAUCCCAAAUAUCAAUGACUAAAAAACAUUGGUGAUUGGGGCCUCAUUAGAUCAAUUAGAGUAAUUAGGUUAAUUAGGCAUUUCUUGUGCAGAGUGCGAGCAAAGGCCGUAACUGGUCGCCGAGAGAGGAGCCUGCGUCCUAUCAGCUUGUUGGUGAGGUAAUGGCUCACCAAGGCAAUGACGGGUAGCCGGUGUGAGAGCACGAUCGGCCACAAGGUAACUGAGACACGGUGCCUACACCUACGGGUGGCAGCAACUGGGAAUCUUGCGCAAUGGACGAAAGUCUGACGCAGCGACACCGCGUGUGGGAUGAAGCAUUUCGGUGUGUAAACCACUGUGGCGGGGGAGAAAGAUCUGAUAGUACCCCGCUAGAAAGCAUCUGCUAACUACGUGCCAGAAGCCUCGGCAAUGCGUANGAUGCAAGCGUUAUCCGGAUUUACUGGGCG
rnacentral:rRNA from 1 species